CCUACGGGUGGCAGCAGUGGGGAAUAUUGCACAAUGGGGGAAACCCUGAUGCAGCAACGCCGCGUGAAGGAAGAAGGUUUUCGGAUUGUAAACUUCUGUUCUUAGUGAAGAAGAAUGACGGUAGCUAAGGAGCAAGCCACGGCUAACUACGUGCCCGCAGCCGCGGUAAUACGUAGGGGGCAAGCGUUAUCCGGAUUUACGGGGUGUAAAGGGAGCGUGGACGGCAAGGCAAGCCAGAGGUGAAAGGGCAGGGCUCAACCCUGUACAUGCUUUUGGAACUGUGGUGCUAGAGUGCAGGAGAGGUAAGUGGAAUUCCUAGUGUAGCGGUGAAAUGCGUAGAUAUUAGGAGGAACACCAGUGGCGAAGGCGGCUUACUGGACUGUAACUGACGUUGAGGCUCGAAAGCGUGGGGAGCAAACAGGAUUAGAUACCCGAGUAGUC
rnacentral:rRNA from 1 species